rnacentral:rRNA from 1 species
UACGUAGGGGGCAAGCGUUGUCCGGAUUUACUGGGUGUAAAGGGAGCGCAGGCGGAUUACUAAGUCAGAGGUGAAAUCCUACAGCUUAACUGUAGAACUGCCUUUGAUACUGGUAACCUUGAGUUUGGGAGAGAGAGAUGGAAUUCCAGGUGUAGUGGUGAAAUACGUAGAUAUCUGGAAGAACACCAGAGGCGAAGGCGAUCUCUUGGCCCAUAACUGACGCUGAGGCUCGAAAGCGUGGGUAGCGAACAGG